GAUAAACGCUGGCGGCGUGCCUAAAACAUGCAAGUCGUGCGGAAACACUUCGGGUGUCGAGCGGCGGACGGGUGAGUAACGCGUAGAUACAUACCCCAAACUGAGGGAUAACUGCUCGAAAGGGUAGCUAAUACCGCAUAUGGUCUUUGGAUUAAAGCUUCGGCGGUUUGGGAAUGGUCUGCGUAGGAUUAGCUAGUUGGUAAGGUAAUGGCUUACCAAGGCGACGAUCCUUAGCUGUUCUGAGAGGAUGAUCAGCCACACUGGAACUGAGACACGGUCCAGACUCCUACGGGAGGCAGCAGUUGGGAAUUUUCCACAAUGGGGGCAACCCUGAUGGAGCAACGCCGCGUGCAGGAUGACGGCCUUCGGGUUGUAAACUGCUUUUAUAAGUGAAGAAUAUGACGGUAGCUUAUGAAUAAGGGACUGCUAACUACG
rnacentral:rRNA from 1 species